GGGCUUAUAGCUUAGCGGUUAUAAGAGCCUCAGUAGCAUCUCAGGUCCUGGGUUCGACUCCCCGUGGGAGCG